UACGGAGGGUGCAAGCGUUAUCCGGAUUUACUGGGUUUAAAGGGUGCGUAGGUGGGUUGGUAAGUCAGUGGUGAAAUCUUCGAGCUUAACUCGGAAACUGCCAUUGAUACUAUCAAUCUUGAAUUAUCUGGAGGUAAGCGGAAUAUGUCAUGUAGCGGUGAAAUGCUUAGAUAUGACAUAGAACACCCAUUGCGAAGGCAGCUUACUACGGAUAUAUUGACACUGAGGCACGAAAGCGUGGGGGAUCAAACAGG
rnacentral:rRNA from 1 species